rnacentral:rRNA from 1 species
CCCAGACUCCUACGGGAGGCAGCAGUGGGGAAUAUUGCACAAUGGGGGGAACCCUGAUGCAGCGACGCCGCGUGAGUGAAGAAGUAUUUCGGUAUGUAAAGCUCUGUCAGCAGGGAAGAAGAAAGACGGUACCUGACCAAGAAGCCCCGGCUAACUACGUGCCAGCAGCCGCGGUAAUACGUAGGGGGCAAGCGUUAUCCGGAUUUACUGGGUGUAAAGGGGGCGCAGACGGCAGCGCAAGCCAGGAGUGAAAGCCCGGGGCCCAACCCCGGGACUGCUCUUGGAACUGCGCGGCUGGAGUGCAGGAGGGGCAGGCGGAAUUCCUGGUGUAGCGGUGAAAUGCGUAGAUAUCAGGAGGAACACCGGUGGCGAAGGCGGCCUGCCGGACUGCGACUGACGUUGAGGCCCGAAAGCGUGGGGAGCAAACAGGAUUAGAUACCCGCGUAUG